rnacentral:snRNA from 1 species
GUGCUCACUUCAGCAGCACAUAUACUAAAAUUGGAACGACAUAGAGAAGAUUAGUAUGGCCCCUGCGCAAGGAUGACACAAAAGUUCAUGAAGCGUUCCAUAUUUUU